CAAAAUGUAGCUUAUAACCUAAAGCACUCGGCUUACACCCGAAAGAUUUCAUUAAUUGGACAUUUUGA
rnacentral:tRNA from 1 species